AAGCCAAAGCAAAAUUUGCAUUUUGCUUCUGUAAAAAUCACAUCUAGCAAAUCGCUCAAGAACGAAUCGCAGUCCACUAAUUCCAGUUUACCAAAAUCAUAACACAAAAAGAAAAGAGUCCUUUUACUCCAACUUUUCUUACCCUGAUUAAAAGCAGGCAAAGGAUCUCAAGCCGAGGCAAUGCUUUCAAUCAUGAGUAUAAUCCUCAAUACUGAGGUAUAAUCACAACUCUAACGUUAAGUGGAAAAAGAAGAUUGAUUUUCUUACUUACGCUAAAAAUUUGGCUCUAAAAUAAUUUUAAUUUCUCUGUAAAAAUGAAUGCCCACCGAACAUUAACCUAAAAUUUAAUACCCAAAAAACAAGUUCGCAAAAUUCAUGAAAAUUUAUGAAAAGCUAACAUCGUGAUCGAUCAAGAAGAAUG
rnacentral:misc_RNA from 1 species